AUUCAUGUCAGAAUUAACCAUUGAAUCUGUGUCCAUUUUGGGAUCCGUUUUCUAUGAACAUAUUAAUAUAGUUAUAUCAGACUUUUAUUUUUUAAUGCUUUCACUUGUAUCAUGGAGUGUAAAGGUCGGUAGAAUUCGCAUUUCAAUCGACCACAUCACAUGUCCUCUUGAGAUGUUUUACAGCAUCUUCAUUGAUGAUCCUGGUGUCUUAAAUAAUUAAUGUCGCAGUUUUUGCAUGUACAAGUUCUGUCAUAUUAACUUAUAGACUGUUCAAUAUUUAAUUUGUGAUGGUACUAUUCUUUUUCAAUUAACCUCAGUUACUGUUAUAAUAAUUCCAGGGGUGAGGUGCACGUCUCACUGAUGAACCUUAUGGAUAAAUUAUUGUUUGCAUCAUAUGCAGAUAGCAGAUCCAGCUAGGUAAAGUUUUUUCACCAUUUUCACUUUGUUCAGCAUUUCUAGCUGUUUAUUUUCAUCUUGCAUAAGCAAACAUUGGAAUACAGUUCUUUGUCACGUGUGUUUUCAUUGUAUGCAAUAUCAUUAAGAUUAGAACACUAGGGAAUGACAUAUAUUAUCAUAUAAAAAAAAAUGAAUGGGCCCCUGGUUUAUAGUUUAACUGUAUACUUAUGUUGAAAACGGUCUUUGUAUUUAAUGAUUUUGCUUUUAGGAAAUUUUAUAGAUUUGGAUACAAUCAUGUUAUUGUUUCCAACUUUGAAUUCUAAGUGACAGGAACAUUCACGUUAGUCUUAAGUUCGGGUUCACUUGCAAUAAUAACUCUCAACUGAAAGCAUCUGUAAGUUUUAAGCAUUGAAAUUUGAAGUAAUCUUGCCUGGUUUACACCUUUACAUUUAUGUUGUAUUCUAUGGUUUUCAAGUUUGGGAAGCCUAUCAAAGUUAACUGGGCAUAUUGCAGUAGUUGGGAGGACACAUUAAGUAAAUCCAUAGAUUCAUCUUUUUCAGACUUGUGUUUUUUAGCCGCUUUUGUACUUCAUUUAGAGUUGUAUGAAUUUUUAAUUGUGAUAAUAUUUUAUCCAUUUUAUCUAGGACAGUUCACCAUUUUUGCUAGUUACUUUCAAACCAAUUCAUACUAUUUAUUUACAGAUUAUGAAAAAAAAAAAAAAGAAGGAAGAAGAAGAAGAAGUUAUUUUAAGCAUGUUCUUAAAAUAAAUAAAUAGAGUUAAUUAAAAUCAACAUUUUUCUUCUUCAAACUUUUAAUAAUAUUCUGGUAUUUUGCCAUCGAAAAGUAAUUAUGCAUCUUCUUUCCCUACCUAACAUGUAAUUAUUUAAUUGCUGCGAUAUACGUUUUUCUUAGUCUUUUUCAGAAUUGCUCAUCCAUCUACCAUAUAUUUCUUAUUCUGCAAAAUUCAUGAAUGGUUACAUGAUACCCUUAGUUACCACUCUAGCACUUGAUGCUAUUUUUAAUACAUUCAUUGGAGAUUCGAGGCUACUGUGCUAUUUACAAAUCACGGACAUAUUUGAAACAAAACUGUGCAUAUAUGUAGCUGAUGUUUACUAAUAUCCAAACCAUUUGUCAUACCUUCAUUUUUAGAAAUCCAUAGAUACUAUCCAUAUGAUGUUUUUAAUGUAUUCUUUUUGUUGCAUUUUUCUAUUCUAGAUUCAUAUUCGAAGAGACUUGACAGCCAUUAAAGUAAGUUGUCUUUACAUGUUAGUUGCUUCUAAAAAAUAUCAUUCAUCAUGUAAGAGGUAUUGUUGUUGGUUUUUGCUUGAUUCUAUUGUUUGAAGUCAUUUGUAGGAAUUGUCCAUUUGAUGGCUCUCGAGUUCCUUUUUUUUUUUUUUUUUUUUUUUUAGCAUCUUGAAAAUAAUAAAGCUUCUUGAUUUAUUAUUGAAAUUAAUAAAAAGCUAUAUUUUAUGGUUGGGGAAGGAAAUAAAAAGGAUAUAUGAUGUUUACAUAUUUUUAAUUUGUUUGUCUUAGGCCUUAUUCAUUAGCUAUUGGAGUAAUUAUAAUAAUUCACUUUUCCUCAAUUAUACUUGUCGACUGAAUCAAGAGGUCAUUAAUUUCAUAAUAGCGUUGGUAUAAAGUUGUGAUUUCCUGUAUUUUAAUGUGUGUGUGUUUGUACACUAUUUGCUGUUAUGUACUAGCAAUAAAACCUUAUAAGGAAGUAUAAUUUUAUAAAGUUAGUUACUUUUGUUUUGCGCAUGUUUUCUUCUUAGCUUUUAAUUUUUGGAAUUAAUGAAUUAAUCUAAUGUUCUUAAUUUUUGUUAGUGAUUUUCGUUCAUCUCAUAUAAUUUCAAGGGUUCCAUAUGAAUUCAUUGAUUCCAUGGAAUGUUAUAUUUAUUUUAAUUUUUUUGUUUCAGAUUGGAAGAUAUCGUUUCCGAAGUGAAAAUACUAAAAUUUUCGAUGUUAAUUAAACUGUGUUAUCUUCAGGUAUUUUAUUUAUUUUAAAUAUUUCCUUCAAUUUUAUUAGGUUCAUAGCUUGUUCUGUAUUUUUUUUCCAUGAAGUUUCUUUUAUAGUAUUUAUCAUUUAACUACUACUGUUACGUGUUUGCACAUUUGGGCAACCCAUCGGGACUCACAGUCAACUUAUGCUGAACCACGUGGCACUCAAGUCGAGGUGAUUUGCAUACCCGAGGCCCACAAUCGAGGUCCACAAAAGGUGAGGCCCAUCUAUCAUUGCCUCUUGAGGAGCUACCGAAGCCCAUAUGCCGAGGCCCUUUGAAGGUGGACGAGGCCCUGUUGGCCGAAGCUCUGUAACCGAGGUAGCAGCCUCCGAAUCAUAAAGCAGCAUCUUCCAUAGAUGCUUUUCCCAAGAGAUUCUCAGCACAAAGAUCUUAUUUGAAUGAUUGAUAGGACGUUUGUCAUGAGUGUAAAUGUUAAGUCUUAUCACUAGUAGAGGUGGCUCUGCCAAUCAAUAAAUGUAUAGCAGGCUAGGUGUGGUUGAGCUUACAGUUUGACAUGUAAAUUAACCGGAUGAGGCCACGUGUACCCCGAACCAAAGGUUACGAUCUAACUUGUGACACUAUAAAUGCUCCCCCAUGUACCCCAUACAAAGGCUAAUGCAAGAAUCAAUACAAAAAAUCAUACUUUACUCAACUCUCUA
rnacentral:lncRNA from 1 species